CUGUAGUUGUGUUCUCAUCUCCGUCACUUGCUCAGCAGGAGGAAAGGAAAGAAAACAGAUCCCAAGAGUGUUUAAAAAAAUGGCAGAGGAACAACGAAUUGUAAUUCCAAGAGUGAAACUGAGUAACCAAGGGUUUGAGGUCUCAAAAUUAGGCUUUGGAUGUAUGGGACUUACUGGUACAUACAAUGCUCCUCUCUCUGACGAGGAUGGCAUUUCAAUCAUUGAGGAAGCAUUCAAUAGAGGAAUUACAUUUUUUGAUACAGCUGAUGUUUAUGGACCUCACACAAAUGAAGUCUUGGUUGGCAAGGCAUUAAAGAAAUUGCCUAGAGAAAAGGUCCAGUUAGCUACAAAAUUUGGC
rnacentral:misc_RNA from 1 species